rnacentral:rRNA from 1 species
CCUACGGGAGACAGCAGUGGGGAAUAUUGCACAAUGGGGGAAACCCUGAUGCAGCAACGCCGCGUGAGUGAGGAAGUAUUUCGGUAUGUAAAGCUCUAUCAGCAGGGAAUAGAAAAGCAGGUACCUGAAAAAGAAGCCCCGGCCAACUACGUGCAAGCAGCCGCGGUAAUACUUAGGGGGCAAGCGUUAUCCGGAUUUACUGGGUGUAAGGGGUGCGUAGGCGGAUUUGUAAGUCAGCGGUAAAAUGUCCGGGCUCAACCCCGGCCGGCCGUUGAAACUGGGGAUCUUGAGUGGGCGAGAGGUAUGCGGAAUGCGUGGUGUAGCGGUGAAAUGCAUAGAUAUCACGCAGAACACCAGUUGCGAAGGCAGCAUACCGGCGCCCGACUGACGCUGAGGCACGAAAGCGUGGGGAUCGAACAGGAUUAGAUACCCGUGUAGUC